GACGGAGGGCGCAAGCGUUGUCCGGAAUUACUGGGCGUAAAGCGUGCGCAGGCGGCCCGUUAAGUCCUUUGUGAAAUCCCGGGGCUCAACUCCGGAAUUGCAGAGGAUACUGGCGGGCUAGAGAACGGUAGAGGUCAACGGAAUUCCCGGUGUAGCGGUGGAAUGCGUAGAUAUCGGGAAGAACACCAGUGGCGAAGGCGGUUGACUGGGCCGUUUCUGACGCUCAUGUACGAAAGCGUGGGGAGCAAACAGG
rnacentral:misc_RNA from 1 species